rnacentral:tRNA from 1 species
GGGCUUGUAGCUCAGGUGGUUAGAGCGCACGCCUGAUAAGCGUGAGGUCGGAGGUUCAAGUCCUCCCAAGCCCACAA